rnacentral:rRNA from 1 species
AUGAACGCUAGCUACAGGCUUAACACAUGCAAGUCGAGGGGCAGCAUGGUCUUAGCUUGCUAAGGCCGAUGGCGACCGGCGCACGGGUGAGUAACACGUAUCCAACCUGCCGUCUACUCUUGGACAGCCUUCUGAAAGGAAGAUUAAUACAAGAUGGCAUCAUGAGUUCACAUGUUCACAUGAUUAAAGGUAUUCCGGUAGACGAUGGGGAUGCGUUCCAUUAGAUAGUAGGCGGGGUAACGGCCCACCUAGUCUUCGAUGGAUAGGGGUUCUGAGAGGAAGGUCCCCCACAUUGGAACUGAGACACGGUCCAAACUCCUACGGGAGGCAGCAGUGAGGAAUAUUGGUCAAUGGGCGAGAGCCUGAACCAGCCAAGUAGCGUGAAGGAUGACUGCCCUAUGGGUUGUAAACUUCUUUUAUAAAGGAAUAAAGUCGGGUAUGGAUACCCGUUUGCAUGUCUUUAUGAAUAAGGAUCGGCUAACUCCGUGCCAGCAGCCGCGGUAAUACGGAGGAUCCGAGCGUUAUCCGGAUUUAUUGGGUUUAAAGGGAGCGUAGAUGGAUGUUUAAGUCAGUUGUGAAAGUUUGCGGCUCAACCGUAAAAUUGCAGUUGAUACUGGAUAUCUUGAGUGCAGUUGAGGCAGGCGGAAUUCGUGGUGUAGCGGUGAAAUGCUUAGAUAUCACGAAGAACUCCGAUUGCGAAGGCAGCCUGCUAAGCUGCAACUGACAUUGAGGCUCGAAAGUGUGGGUAUCAAACAGGAUUAGAUACCCUGGUAGUCCACACGGUAAACGAUGAAUACUCGCUGUUUGCGAUAUACGGCAAGCGGCCAAGCGAAAGCGUUAAGUAUUCCACCUGGGGAGUACGCCGGCAACGGUGAAACUCAAAGGAAUUGACGGGGGCCCGCACAAGCAGUGGAGUAUGUGGUUUAAUUCGAAGCAACGCGAAGAACCUUACCAGGGCUUGACAUAUAGAUGAAUAACUAAGAGAUUAGUUAGUCCUUCGGGACAUCUAUACAGGUGGUGCAUGGUUGUCGUCAGCUCGUGUCGUGAGAUGUUGGGUUAAGUCCCGCAACGAGCGCAACCCUUAUCCUUUGUUGCCAGCGGUCCGGCCGGGAACUCAAAGGAGACUGCCAGUGAUAAACUGGAGGAAGGUGGGGAUGACGUCAAAUCAGCACGGCCCUUACGUCCGGGGCUACACACGUGUUACAAUGGGGGGUACAGAGGGCCGCUACCACGCGAGUGGAUGCCAAUCCCCAAAACCUCUCUCAGUUCGGACUGGAGUCUGCAACCCGACUCCACGAAGCUGGAUUCGCUAGUAAUCGCGCAUCAGCCACGGCGCGGUGAAUACGUUCCCGGGCCUUGUACACACCGCCCGUCACACCAUGAGAGCCGGGGGGACCCGAAGUCGGUAGUCUAACCGCAAGGAGGACGCUGCCGAAGGUAGGAUUGGCGACUGGGGUG